AGCGAACGCUGGCGGCAGGCCUAACACAUGCAAGUCGAACGAACCCUUCGGGGUUAGUGGCGGACGGGUGAGUAACACGUGGGAACGUGCCAUUAGGUUCGGAAUAACUCAGGGAAACUUGUGCUAAUACCGAAUGUGCCCUUCGGGAGAAAGAUUUAUCGCCUUUAGAGCGGCCCGCGUCUGAUUAGCUAGUUGGUGAGGUAAUGGCUCACCAAGGCUACGAUCAGUAGCUGGUCUGAGAGGAUGACCAGCCACAUUGGGACUGAGACACGGCCCAAACUCCUACGGGAGGCAGCAGUGGGGAAUCUUGCGCAAUGGGCGAAAGCCUGACGCAGCCAUGCCGCGUGGAUGAUGAAGGUCUUAGGAUUGUAAAAUCCUUUCACCGGUGAAGAUAAUGACUGUAGCCGGAGAAGAAGCCCCGGCUAACUUCGUGCCAGCCGCCGCAGUAAAAC
rnacentral:rRNA from 1 species